UCUCCGUAGGUGAACCUGCGGAGGGAUCAUUAACGCUUUUGUCGUCCACGGUGGGGUUGAUCGGCAUCUUCCAAAGGUGCUUGGUCCCCUUCCGACACCAAAAAAAAAACGUAAACCGUUGAAGUCCUUAACAGUUAUCUGAACGCCACAAGGCUUUUAAAUCGGAUUAACUUGUAACAAGGCUAAGCAAUUUUACCUCUGAUUUGUGUUGAGAGUCUUCGGACUUUCUACUUAAUCUGAUGUGAAACUCUUACAAAACAUAACUUUAGCGAUAACUCUUAACGAUGGACACCUUGGCUCCC
rnacentral:misc_RNA from 1 species